CCGGAUGACAGACCAAGUCACCCUCCACCUACCACCUCCAGGCCAAGAGUCCUGUUCACCCUCAGACCACUGCCAUUCCUCCUGUAGUUCCGGGCUUUCCUUAAGGGCGUCUCCUCUCCCUUGGGGCACAUCUCAGAGAGCCGGGUCCAUGGUUAUUGCUCAGGAUGAGAAGGGAAGGCUGGAAGUGCUACUUUCAAAGCUCAGCUAGGGAGGAGUUGCCCCCCAAACAUAAUCACUGAACUGCAAACAUUGUUCCAUGGGAGGUGUGCAGAAAUGCACCCAGUAAAUAGCUGGACAAGAAUUCCUCCUUCUUGAUAAAUGCUCCCUAUUCGGGGGGCAGAUCCACCGUGCUUAAAACAGGAAGAAGCCGGGGAGCUGGGAGGCUCCAAGACGGACAGUAGACCCAGAAAGCUACCGAGAGAGAGAAAGAUGUUAAGAGAUGGACUGAAAGGCUUGGAUAUGAAGUUACGGACGUCUGAAAAGGUGGGCUCUGAGACCGCACAAGGCAGGGAGAACACAGUGAGGCACAAGAGCCAAAUGAGCAAGAGCAAAGGAAGGACCGAAGAAACGCGGCCGGAGGACAGAGAGACUCUAUCCCUCCCCGAGGAGGAACUUGGGCACGGGUGCAGCAAAUGGAGGCAAAGCCAGCGACGGGAGCUCCCGUCUGGAGCCCGGCAAGACCAGGGCUACCCUUGGAUGGCGCCCCCUUCCGCCCCAAGCAGGCCACCGAGAGGAGAAGAAACACUACUGCUCCCUAGUGGUUAUGGAAGGAACAUCACCAAGGAGAAAACAUGCCAGGCCGGGGGAACAGACUGCCUUUCUCUUCCCCGCUCCCCUCCUUAAACCAGAAUCCCACUUAAAGCAAAAUCCCACUCCCUUCUUUUCUCCAGACGCAAGGACAUGGCAAAGACCUUCCCAGAAAGUCUACCAGAUGCCACCAGCACAUUUGCUUAAAAUUUGCAUACAAUGAUUUCCACAUCAGAGCCUUCCGAACAGUUUUGCCUUUCACUUUUCCAACUGUUGGAUCUAUCCCCUCUCCCUUACUGAAGAGUCCAUUUUUAGGACCUUUCCUCUUCUUCUUCCUCUCUCUGAAAUUCUUGCCUAGGGCACUGCCCUCUUCCACACUCAUUUUGCCUCUUGCCCCUUUUUGUCUCAACCUGUUGCUUUUAAGAGGCAGAAGCCUUGGAGAAGUGGGGAAAAGAAAAAGGAAAUAUAGAGUGCCCUGCCUAACAGGGAUUGUUUGGUAUAGACAAUAAACUCUAACUUGAUGAGCUUGAUUUUUAAAGCAGUGUAAGAACAUGGGCUAUGGAUUCAUGCAGCCCCAGGUUCAGUGCUGGGCUGCUUCCCCCACUCACCAGCUAUGCAACCUUGGUAAGUUACUUGCAACCUGGGAAAAUGGGAAGAAUGAUCCCUUCCUUCCUGGCCUUCUGGGUGAUCAGUCAGGCUGGUUCUUUUCCUUCUCUCUUGGCUAGCUCCUCCCACAGAGCAGAGUGAGGUGUUCCCAGGUGGGUGACAACUUUCCUUCUGCUUCGCUCCUUCUUGACCAGGACUCAUCCUCUAAUUUCUGCCCUUUUCAAAAACGGAGGGGAGAGUCUUCAGUGGCCAGGAUUUAAAGCUAAGUCUGCCCAGCAGCAGAGUUCAUUUCUCACUUGGCCCUCUCGAUUGCCAGGCCUCGAGACACCCCAUCAUCCGAGAGCAGAGAAUGGAAGCCUUGCCCAGGCUCACAGUUGCACUGGGUGCAAAAGCGGUUAAUACCUGGAUCAAAACUAUAUGGCCACUCCCUUCAUUUAAAACUAUCAUUUUCUCAGGGCGCCUGGAUGGUUCAGUCGAUUAAAUGUCCAACUCUUGAGUUUGUGGGUUCCUUGCUGACAGUGUGAUGCCUGCUUGGGAUUCUCUCUCUGCCCCCUCCCCUGCUCUCUCUCGCUCUCUCAAAAUAAACAAAUAAACUAUCAUUUUCCCCCUCACACUCCCCCCCCCCAAAAAACCGAAAAACACUAUCAUUGUCUAUGUCUAAAUCUUCCCUUCCUAUUCAAAAGGAAACAA